GUGAGGCUGGAGUGAGCGGAGAUCGUACCACUGCACUCCAACCUGGUGA
ensembl:miRNA MIR4430 microRNA 4430